GGCAUUAUUUUAAAAUUUAAUUACCCUUCAACACUUGUAGUAACAAAAUUUUCUUUAAUUUAAUAAAAAAUUUAUCAAUAGCUGAAAUUAUAGAAAGUUUUAGUUAGUUUUAUUAAAUUAGUUGAUAUUAUUUAGCGAUGAAAAGAAUUAGAGCGUUUUGCCAGAAGAAACUUAUAACAGGCAGGUAGCAGAUCGGAGGGACUCUAUAUCCUCAUCAUCAAACUAGAUUGCUAGUUAUAGACCAGUCAAGGUAGGAUUCUUAGAUUCUGUUUUUCGACGUACGAGAUUAUAUGAAUCGAUGAUAGUUGAAAAUGUACACUUUAUAUGCAUGAAGUAAUUUAGGAUCAAUUUUCACCAAGUGUAUUACUUUUAUUUUUCAUUCAAUUUAUUAAUUUAAGUCAUGUAUGAAGUGAGGGACAUCGCAAAGUCAGUUUAGUGGAAAAAGAAAAAUUUAAUAAAAAGAUUAACAAUAAUUCAAUCAACAAUCAAGGACAGUUCAUGAACACGUUGAAGAGGGGGGUAAAGUAAUAUUUUUUGAAACUACUGAACUGUGAUGUCAUUGUCAAAUACGUGAACUUAAAAUGUUAUUCAAAUUAAGAUUACCAAUAGGUAUGACUUUUAAAAAAAAAUUCAACUUACCUCGCUUAAAAAAGUUAACUCGUUAUGACAAUAGAAUAAUUGUAUUUAUUUUUAAUAUUUUAUAAAAGUUUUAAAUACAAUUUCAUUCAGUUUUUUUUUUAUCUUUUGUGUUUGUAAAAUUCUUUUUUAAAAGUGAGAAUCAUAAAAAAAUGUACUCUUCGACUCAAAAGUUUCUUUAUACAAUAUAUUUCAAAAUCUGAAAAUUUUCAUUACUUUCAUGUAAUAAGAUUUUCACUUUUAAUCGAAUUCUAUCAUUUUUUUUUUUUGUUUUUAAAUUUUUGUUUUCAAAAUUUCAUAAAAAAGAUAAUUACUUCCUCUUUUAAAAUUGCAUAUAAAAUUAUGAUGUAAUAUUUUUUAUUUUUCUUGUAUUAAUUGUUGUUUUUCGUUUUCAUUAAUUUCUGGUAUACCGUUUGGGUGGAAAAACUUGGGAGAGCAAAUCAUUCGAAUCGUCUGCCAUCAUAAAAUAUCAACUAAGUCGCAGGAGUAUAAUAAUCACCAUCUUAAAUUAAAGUAAGGCCAUUGUUUACUAGUCAAUAUAUGUUUAAGGAAAAAAUAGAAUGUUUUUUUAUUAUAGAUGAGAAAUGAGAAGUGAGACGAGUAUGAGUAUUGAAAAUAAAUUGUCAUAAAAAUGGCAAGGAUUCAUGGCACACCUCAACGGUCAGUGAAUCAAAUAAAAAUAAUAUAAGAAUACUGAAAUAAAUAAUAAAACCAAACAAGAAAGUAGUAAAAAUAUAUUUUACCUGUACAAGAUCUCGAUUAUUAAUAGCUUUCAUUAGCAUUAUAAUGUUAUAUUCAAAACAAAACAGCGAUAUAUUAUGUAAUUAUAUAAAUGAAUGGAGCAUAAUUUUCUUUCCUCAAAAUUUGUAAAAGGGACAAAAACUUGGAAGAAUAACUAGUCUUUAUUUAACGUGCAUCUAAACACAAGGAGUUCAAAAUAUUCAUUUCUAGUUUCUUUUUUUUCUUUUUUUUUUUUGUUUAAAUAAACUGCUUCGCCUCACAUUCGUUUCAAUUCAAUUCAAUUGUUCAUUUCUAUUGAUAAUUAUUCAUAAAACUUUUAAUAUGGUACAAUUCAGUUAGACAAAAAGUCACAUUUCUGAAGAGAUACUCAUUGACAAUCACAGUCUUUACAAUUUCCUCGAUUCCCUCUUACUUUUCAGCCAUUGCACUAAUAUUGCCGCAACACAACAGUAUAAUUAUAAAUAUACUCCAACAAUGCGUGUUCCUAUCACAAUAAAAUUUCAUUUGAACUCCUUGCGAAUGGCGAGAAAACUAAAAAAUGUUUAGGCGUCUUAAAACUCUAUUAUACCUAUUCCACUAAAUUAUACAAAAAUUUGUUUGAUUACAUAAAAAUAUGAAUGUAAAAGCUUAAAGCGAAUAUAGUCGAUACUCGAUAUGUAACUAUUUCUAUAAAAACUGUACUUCAUUUAUUGAAAUACCUCAUUUCAUGAACGUACAUAAAUCAUUGGCUAUCUUAUUUAAUAGUCGAGGUUUAAAUCAAAUUUUCGCUUAAAAUUAGUCUUAAGCUAAUAUUUCAUGUGCAUUCAAGUACUUUUUUUUCUUCAUUUAUUAUAACAUAAUAGAUAAUAGUUAGGUCUAUUUACAAUGGAGAAAAUAUAUAAAAUCUUAAAAAUAGACAAAAUUUAUUUAUAUAGAUAGUCUGAAAAGUUUUGCUUGGAAAAUCGUUUGUAUAUACAUUAUUUAAAUGAGCAUGCUUCAUUUUGAAAAAUUAUACGGUGAAAAAGAGGAUACAAAAUAUAUAAUUAAAAAAUUGCAUAAGCUACCGAAGUCAAAUUCAAUCUACUAUAUAAAUCACUUAGAAUUUAAUUAUUCUCUUCUUCUUUUUCAUCUUUCAUUUGUCAGUACAUAAAGUCUUAAUAAAUUUUAUGUAAUAACUUAUUCUUAUUAAAUAUUUGUUCUUAUUCAUCUUUCACCAAAGUCCUCUUUCCAGAACCAUUUAUUUAUAUUAGCACUAUAAAAAUUAUAAGCUCAUUUUGCCGAUUAAAGUCUUUAAGAUUGUAAAUUUAUAACAUUGGACGAAUAUGCGAAAAAAUUGAGUCAAAACAAAAUUUUAAAACUAUCUCCUAUUUUUUUUGUAUAAUACAAAAAUUAUUAAAUUGAUUAUAAAAUAUUUUUCCGUUUUUAAAUCAAUGUACAAUUUUACAAUUAUUUACUGUAGAAAAAAUGAAAAUUGUAAAGAAAAAUAAAUUAUUUCUUUACAAAAUAUUAAAAAUUUUUACUGCACUGUAAAAAAUAGUAAAAAAAAUAUUACACACAUUAAAUGUGACACAUUUAACAAAGGGGAAAAGUGACGUGACGCGCAUUAAAUAAGGUUAUGUUGUCACAUUAAGGCACUUUUCCCCUUGUCUGUAAAAUGUGCCACAUUUCUAUGAGUAAUUUUUUUGAUUUUUUACAGUGUGAAAUUUGUUUCUAAACAUUUACUAAUUAAUAGCAUUAUCACUGGCAGUAUAUAAACUAUUCGUGAUAGUUUACAAAUUCUAAAAAGAUAACGAUUUAUAAAAAUUUGAAAAAAUGUAUAUUUCAACGCAUAAAUAUAAAGAAAUAUUUAAAAGAAAUCAAUUUUUUGAAUUGAAACUGAAAAAUCAGUUUCGGUUGUAUAAAAACUUUUUUAAAAAGAUACAUUAUUCCUGAUAUUUUAACUCUAUUAAAAAUUUCUACACUAAACAUUUGUAUGAACAUUGAAUAACGGAUACCUCCAUAUUAAUAAAAAAUAUUUAAGUCAGUCAUAUUAGUCGACAAACUUUUCUUAAUUAUGUAAAUGGUGAAAGCAAAAAUAUAAGUCGAAUAUUGAAGCAUUUUUAUAGUGUGAUAUAUGGAAAAAAAUAGCUGGAUUUAUUAAACUUUUCAAUGACUAGCUUUAAGAUAUUAUGCAUUCAUAUAUAUUUUUGUUUUCGCCAUUAAUUAUUGAAAAAAGCUACAUUUUCACGAGAAAACUUUUUCGACUAUUUACUUUGUUAUUUGUACGAUUAAAAUUAAAACUUUCUUAAAUACAUAUUUUCACCAUAAUUUAACAAUUUCCAUCCAUCUUUUUUUCGGUCCAACGCUCGUUAGCUCAUUAACUUUUAUAUUUUAAUUUUCAAAAAACUAAUUCUGACAACCAUACAACACAACGAAGUUAUAAAAAUUAAAUAAACCUGUGCGAAUUAAUAAUCUCAUUACAACAACAACAAUAACAACGGAAUAAUUGUUUGUAUAUUCCGCUGUGUGUUUUAUUUAGUUCAAGAGCUUGUUGUUUAGCAAUUGAGCGCAUAGAAUCAUUUGUAUAAAAAUAAUCAAAUGGCACUGCGACAGGAAUAGAAAUCUGAACGAUAUAUUAUCUAAGUUAUCCAUUCUGCAUCUUUUUUUUCAGAACGAGUCUUUUUUUCCUUUUUAAAAUUUCAUGAAACUAUUAAAUUCAUGUGCAUAUUUCGAAAUAUUGAUAAUUUACGUACGUUUCUUUUUCUUUACAUUUAUCUAUUAAAAGAAUUAAUAAUAUUGCUCAUAAUUUACUAAAAUCCAAUUAAUUGUCCCUCGAGAAUAGAUUGUUAAUAAUUGAGAACGCAAUCAAAAAUGAGAAUAGUCCCUUUUUUCUAAUUUCUAACUAAUAAUCUAUUCUCGAGAUUAUGCAGAAUAUAAAAAUAUAAUCAUUAUUCGAUUCAUUCAGAAAUUAAUUGUUCGAUUUUCUAUUCAAUUUUUUUUCCUGUUGCACAAAAAAAAUGUUUCUACUUAUUUUCUUUUAUCAUUUUUUUCUCUCUCUAUUGUGCUUUUACAUAUUUCGUCAUUUAUUUCGAGGAAUUUGAAAUCAAAUCUGAACAGAAUGGAGAAAUAAACGUGAAAUUUGUUCUUUAAUGUAUUUGUUUUUUUUUUAUAAUACAUAGAUAGAAACAAAAGUCAUUAAAGUUUACGUUUCAUGUUUAUAACUUGAUUCUUGCUGUUUGAUUAUUCGGCUGAAUUUACAAUGCAACUUGCGAUUUUAGAGUACAUAAUUUGACGAACUCUUUUCUUUUAAUUCAUAUAUUUGAAAUAUAUGUGAAAUAUAAAAGAAAUAAUUUCUUCGGUUGGAUUGUAAAUUUAUACUCGAAUGUCGAUCGAAAUAUAGUAAAAUGUUUUUUAAAAACAUACUGCCUUCAUAUUUCCAAAUGAAUAAAAAUGUUUUUGAAAUGCAUCGAGAACGCAUUUUCUAAACAUUUUAUCCACUUCAAUGUAUCGAGAAAAUAAAAUUAUUUUUUUAGAUACAUUUUAAAAUAUAAAAGCAAUACACUUUUAAAAAGACGUGCAAAAAAUUAGAAAAAUAGUUUUUUUUUGUUUGCAUUAAAAAAAUAUUUAAAAAUUGGCUACUAUAGUUAAUUCCUUUGCCCUGGCGAAAUGUGCCAUCCAAUAUACUUACAAUUUUACAUUAUUCUUCAUAUGGCUACAAUAUCUUGGUUUAUGAUACAGAAGAGUGAUUUGUACAUAUUUCCAUAGGAGGGAAAAAACACUAA